rnacentral:ribozyme from 1 species
UUGGGGGAAGAGAAGAAAAAGGAGUAGAGUUAUUUUCUCAGUGAUGUGGAUGAGUAGAUGGGUGGGUACGUGGGUAGGUUAGUGAUGGGGUAUGUUGUCUUCUCUCUUCUGGGUUGAUGGGGUUUU